UCGCUGGACUCGUUUAUCACGAAGCCUAAGGGUCCCUGUUUUGGAAACAUUGCGAUUUGCCUUCUCUUGAAUUCGGCAUUUGCCAGGAUCAAUCAAGGAAACUAUCUGUGUUAAGAGAGAACUUCAGCACCUCUAAGAUGAAGUUCUUGAAAUUUGACACCAAUGGCUUUGAGAAGAUGUUAUUCAGCGCCUUUGCAUGUCAAAGGAGACAAAGAUGUGCUUACAUCAUUCUACCGCCCCAAUCUACGUUUUUCUGAGUUUGUUGUUUUCUUUUGUUCUAAGGAUUGGAUUAGGUUUUUUUGUGUUCAUAGGGAUAUUUAAGUGCUUGAAAACAGAAAUAUGCACCAGCAUGAUUUUUUGGUAGAUUUACUCUAAUAUGAACCUGCUGUUAACAGGUUAAGCAUAGCAGAGAACUUCUUCAUGGACUUACAAAAAGGAUUUCCAUGUUUUGAUAAAAACAUAUGGUUUGAGAAGAAAGAUCGGUGACAGCCAGCAUAUCCGAUAAUUCAAAUUUAAAAAUGAAGAAAAAAAAA